GAUGAACGCUGGCGGCGUGCCUAAUACAUGCAAGUCGAGCGAACAGACGAGGAGCUUGCUCCUCUGACGUUAGCGGCGGACGGGUGAGUAACACGUGGAUAACCUACCUAUAAGACUGGGAUAACUUCGGGAAACCGGAGCUAAUACCGGAUAAUAUAUUGAACCGCAUGGUUCAAUAGUGAAAGACGGUUUUGCUGUCACUUAUAGAUGGAUCCGCGCCGCAUUAGCUAGUUGGUAAGGUAACGGCUUACCAAGGCGACGAUGCGUAGCCGACCUGAGAGGGGGAUCGGCCACACUGGAGGUGAGACACGGUCCAGACUCCUACGGGAGGCAGCAGUAGGGAAUCUGCCGCAAUGGGCGAAAGCCUGACGGAGCAACGCCGCGUGAGUGAUGAAGGUCUUCGGAUCGGAAAACUCUGUUAUUAGGGAAGAACAAAUGUGUAAGUAACUAUGCACGUCUUGACGGUACCUAAUCAGAAAGCCACGGCUAACUACGUG
rnacentral:rRNA from 1 species